UGAAUACGAGAUGCUACGGCGUCGAAGCAGUCUAUGUCAUACUUCCAAGAAAAGCUUGCACUGUCAUAAACAAAUAAUGCCUGUACCAUAACCGACACAGGUGGGUAGGUAGAGUAUACUAAGGGGCGCGAGAUAACUCUCUCUAAGGAACUCGGCAAAAUGACUCCGUAACUUCGGGAGAAGGAGUGCCUUAUUUAUAAGGUUGCAAUAACAAGAUCCAAGCAACUGUUUACCAAAAACACAGGUCUCCGCUAAGUCGUAAGACGAUGUAUGGGGGCUGACGCCUGCCCAGUGCCAGAAGGUUAAAGAAGUUGGUUAGCAUCCGCGAAGCUGAUAACUGAAGCCCUGGUGAACGGCGGCCGUAACUAUAACGGUCCUAAGGUAGCGAAAUUCCUUGUCGGGUAAGUUCCGACCCGCACGAAAGGCGUAAUGAUUUGGAUACUGUCUCGGAGAGGGGCUCGGUGAAAUAGACUUGUCUGUGAAGAUGCGGACUACCUGCACCAGGACAGAAAGACCCUAUGAAGCUUUACUGUAACCUGAAAUUGAAAUUGGACUUUACUUGCGCAGUAUAGGUGGGAGGCGUUGAGAAUAUUCUUGCGGGAUUAUUGGAGCCAUCAGUGAGAUACCACUCUUGUAAUGUUAGAUUUCUAACUUUGUAUCAUUAUCUGGUCAAAGAACAGUUUCAGGCGGGCAGUUUGACUGGGGCGGUCGCCUCCUAAACGGUAACGGAGGCGCACAAAGGUUUCCUCUGAACGGGUAGAAAUCGUAUCUAGAGUGUAAAGGCAUAAGGAAGCUUGACUGUGAGACCUACAAGUCGAGCAGGGACGAAAGUCGGUCUUAGUGAUCUGACGGUGCUGAGUGGAAAGGCCGUCACUCAACGGAUAAAAGUUACUCUAAGGAUAACAGGCUGAUCUCCCCCAAGAGUUCACAUCGACGGGGAGGUUUGGCACCUCGAUGUCGGCUCAUCGCAUCCUGGGGCGGUAGUACGUCCCAAGGGUUGGGCUGUUCGCCCAUGAAAGCGGUACGCGAGCUGGGUUCAGAACGUCGUGAGACAGUUCGGUCCAUAUCCGGUGUAGGCGUUAGAAUAUUGAGAGGAGCCUUCUUUAGUACGAGAGGACCGAGAAGGACAUACCUCUGGUGUACCAGUUAUCGUGCCAACGGUAAACGCUGGGUAGCUAUGUGUGGAGUGGAUAACCGCUGAAAGCAUCUAAGUGGGAAGCCCACCUCAAGAUAAGUAUUCUC
rnacentral:rRNA from 1 species